AACGAACGCUGGCGGCGUGCCUAACACAUGCAAGUCGAACGAGAUCUUCGGGUCUAGUGGCGCACGGGUGCGUAACGCGUGGGAAUCUGCCCUUUGGUUCGGAAUAACAGUUGGAAACGACUGCUAAUACCGGAUGAUGACGAAAGUCCAAAGAUUUAUCGCCAGAGGAUGAGCCCGCGUGGGAUUAGCUAGUUGGUGUGGUAAAGGCGCACCAAGGCGACGAUCCUUAGCUGGUCUGAGAGGAUGAUCAGCCACACUGGGACUGAGACACGGCCCAGACUCCUACGGGAGGCAGCAGUGGGGAAUAUUGGACAAUGGGCGAAAGCCUGAUCCAGCAAUGCCGCGUGAGUGAUGAAGGCCUUAGGGUUGUAAAGCUCUUUUACCCGGGAUGAUAAUGACAGUACCGGGAGAAUAAGCUCCGGCUAACUCCGUGCCAGCCGCCGCUGUAA
rnacentral:rRNA from 1 species